GUGGUAUCCUGUCUGAAUAUGGGGGGACCAUCCUCCAAGGCUAAAUACUCCUGACUGACCGAUAGUGAACCAGUACCGUGAGGGAAAGGCGAAAAGAACCCCGGCGAGGGGAGUGAAAAAGAACCUGAAACCGUGUACGUACAAGCAGUGGGAGCACGCUUCGGCGUGUGACUGCGUACCUUUUGUAUAAUGGGUCAGCGACUUAUAUUCUGUAGCAAGGUUAACCGAAUAGGGGAGCCGAAGGGAAACCGAGUCUUAACUGGGCGUUAAGUUGCAGGGUAUAGACCCGAAACCCGGUGAUCUAGCCAUGGGCAGGUUGAAGGUUGGGUAACACUAACUGGAGGACCGAACCGACUAAUGUUGAAAAAUUAGCGGAUGACUUGUGGCUGGGGGUGAAAGGCCAAUCAAACCGGGAGAUAGCUGGUUCUCCCCGAAAGCUAUUUAGGUAGCGCCUCGUGAAUUCAUCUCCGGGGGUAGAGCACUGUUUCGGCAAGGGGGUCAUCCCGACUUACCAACCCGAUGCAAACUGCGAAUACCGGAGAAUGUUAUCACGGGAGACACACGGCGGGUGCUAACGUCCGUCGUGAAGAGGGAAACAACCCAGACCGCCAGCUAAGGUCCCAAAGUCAUGGUUAAGUGGGAAACGAUGUGGGAAGGCCCAGACAGCCAGGAUGUUGGCUUAGAAGCAGCCAUCAUUUAAAGAAAGCGUAAUAGCUCACUGGUCGAGUCGGCCUGCGCGGAAGAUGUAACGGGGCUAAACCAUGCACCGAAGCUGCGGCAGCGACACUAUGUGUUGUUGGGUAGGGGAGCGU
rnacentral:rRNA from 1 species